rnacentral:tRNA from 4 species
GCCGGGGUGGCCGAGUGGUUAAGGCGGCAGACUCGAGAUCUGCUGGUCCUUGUGGCCGCGCGGGUUCGAAUCCCGUCCCCGGCG